rnacentral:rRNA from 1 species
AUAGUGAACCAGUACCGUGAGGGAAAGGUGAAAAGCACCCCGGAAGGGGAGUGAAAUAGAACCUGAAACCGUGUGCUUACAAGUAGUCAGAGCCCGUUAAUGGGUGAUGGCGUGCCUUUUGUAGAAUGAACCGGCGAGUUACGAUUUGAUGCAAGGUUAAGCAGUAAAUGUGGAGCCGUAGCGAAAGCGAGUCUGAAUAGGGCGUUUAGUAUUUGGUCGUAGACCCGAAACCAGGUGAUCUACCCUUGGUCAGGUUGAAGUUCAGGUAACACUGAAUGGAGGACCGAACCGACUUACGUUGAAAAGUGAGCGGAUGAACUGAGGGUAGCGGAGAAAUUCCAAUCGAACCUGGAGAUAGCUGGUUCUCUCCGAAAUAGCUUUAGGGCUAGCCUCAAGUGAUGAUUAUUGGAGGUAGAGCACUGUUUGGACGAGGGGCCCCUCUCGGGUUACCGAAUUCAGACAAACUCCGAAUGCCAAUUAAUUUAACUUGGGAGUCAGAACAUGGGUGAUAAGGUCCGUGUUCGAAAGGGAAACAGCCCAGACCACCAGCUAAGGUCCCAAAAUAUAUGUUAAGUGGAAAAGGAUGUGGCGUUGCCCAGACAACUAGGAUGUUGGCUUAGAAGCAGCCAUCAUUUAAAGAGUGCGUAAUAGCUCACUAGUCGAGUGACACUGCGCCGAAAAUGUACCGGGGCUAAACAUAUUACCGAAGCUGUGGAUUGUCCUUUGGACAAUGGUAGGAGAGCGUUCUAAGGGCGUUGAAGCAUGAUCGUAAGGACAUGUGGAGCGCUUAGAAGUGAGAAUGCCGGUGUGAGUAGCGAAAGACGGGUGAGAAUCCCGUCCACCGAUUGACUAAGGUUUCCAGAGGAAGGCUCGUCCGCUCUGGGUUAGUCGGGUCCUAAGCUGAGGCCGACAGGCGUAGGCGAUGGAUAACAGGUUGAUAUUCCUGUACCACCUAUAAUCGUUUUAAUCGAUGGGGGGACGCAGUAGGAUAGGCGAAGCGUGCGAUUGGAUUGCACGUCUAAGCAGUAAGGCUGAGUAUUAGGCAAAUCCGGUACUCGUUAAGGCUGAGC